GGGCCACCCAUAAAUGAUUAUGGUGAGGUAAAUGCACUAGAGGAACUUGUAAAAGAAGCUGAGCCCACUGUACUUUCACAGGAUCCUUUUCAAGCCUGUUUAGCUCAUUUUAAUUUAGAUAAUUUUAAUAUAGAUGGAUAUAUGAAAAAAAUGAAUGCAUUACUAGAGCCAUCCAAUUCAAAGAGUACUCCUCCAUGGACUGUAAAGUAUGAACAAUUACCUACACC
rnacentral:lncRNA from 1 species